rnacentral:lncRNA from 1 species
GACUACAGUCAAGUACCACCACAUCUGGAUAAUUAUCAUUUUUCUUUUUCGUGGAGAUGGAGCUUUGCUGUGUCUCAAACUCAAGCUUACCCAGGAUGGUCUCAAACUCCUGGUCUCAACUCAUCCUCUGCCUCAGCCGCCCAAAGUGCUGGGAUUGCAGUCAUCACCAAGCUUUAGUGAAGAGAACAGCCUGAAAAACAGAAAGCUCUGCAAUGAUUCGGCAGUGUGUGCUGGAGAGACAGUGCCUGAGAGCAUCAUAAACACGAGGGGAGAGGCGCUCCAUAAAUAUGCGGAGGCAAGGUCUUGCUCUGUCACCCAGGCUGGAGUGCAGUGGCACCAUCAUAGCUCACUGCAGCCUUGAUCUCCUGGGCUCAAGCAAUCCUCCCACUUCAGCCUCCCAAGCAGCUGGGACUACAGGUUCUCAGGUGAAGCGCCAAGUAUGUCACUGAAAGCCCAGUGGAGUUAAGUGUGCAAAGUCAGUCUGAACAUAUGCUGUAAUGGAUUUGACCUCGAAUAGCACUACAAAGAGAAAUUGCAGAUAACCAUCUGAACUGACUUCUGAAGCUUGUAGUUCUGGCUCCUGAGAUACAGAGAGAAAAGUGAGACCAAACAGGUGGGAGCAAACAACUCAGAGAGACCAGAAUGAAUACGAG